rnacentral:rRNA from 1 species
GAUGAACGCUGGCGGCGUGCCUAAUACAUGCAAGUCGAGCGAACGGACGAGAAGCUUGCUUCUCUGGUGUUAGCGGCGGACGGGUGAGUAACACGUGGAUAACCUACCUAUAAGACUGGGAUAACUUCGGGAAACCGGAGCUAAUACCGGAUAAUAUUUUGAACCGCAUAGUUCAAAAGUGAAAGACGGUCUUGCUGUCACUUAUAGAUGGAUCCGCGCUGCAUUAGCUAGUUGGUAAGGUAACGGCUUACCAAGGCAACGAUGCAUAGCCGACCUGAGAGGGUGAUCGGCCACACUGGAACUGCGACACGGUCCAGACUCCUACGGGAGGCAGCAGUAGGGAAUCUUCCGCAAUGGGCGAAAGCCUGACGGAGCAACGCCGCGUGAGUGAUGAAGGUCUUCGGAUCGUAAAACUCUGUUAUUAGGGAAGAACAUAUGUGUAAGUAACUGUGCACAUCUUGACGGUACCUAAUCAGAAAGCCACGGCUAACUACGUG